rnacentral:rRNA from 1 species
CCAAAAUGCACAGGCUGUGAACUCGAAGAGUAGGGCGGGACACGUGGUAUCCUGUCUGAAUAUGGGGGGACCAUCCUCCAAGGCUAAAUACUCCUGACUGACCGAUAGUGAACCAGUACCGUGAGGGAAAGGCGAAAAGAACCCCGGCGAGGGGAGUGAAAAAGAACCUGAAACCGUGUACGUACAAGCAGUGGGAGCACCUUCGGGUGUGACUGCGUACCUUUUGUAUAAUGGGUCAGCGACUUAUAUUCUGUAGCAAGGUUAACCGUAUAGGGGAGCCGCAGGGAAACCGAGUCUUAACUGGGCGUUAAGUUGCAGGGUAUAGACCCGAAACCCGGUGAUCUAGCCAUGGGCAGGUUGAAGGUUGGGUAACACUAACUGGAGGACCGAACCGACUAAUGUUGAAAAAUUAGCGGAUGACUUGUGGCUGGGGGUGAAAGGCCAAUCAAACCGGGAGAUAGCUGGUUCUCCCCGAAAGCUAUUUAGGUAGCGCCUCGUGAAUUCAUCUUCGGGGGUAGAGCACUGUUUCGGCUAGGGGGUCAUCCCGACUUACCAACCCGAUGCAAACUACGAAUACCGAAGAAUGUUAUCACGGGAGACACACGGCGGGUGCUAACGUCCGUCGUGAAGAGGGAAACAACCCAGACCGCCAGCUAAGGUCCCAAAGUCAUGGUUAAGUGGGAAACGAUGUGGGAAGGCACAGACAGCCAGGAUGUUGGCUUAGAAGCAGCCAUCAUUUAAAGAAAGCGUAAUAGCUCACUGGUCGAGUCGGCCUGCGCGGAAGAUGUAACGGGGCUAAACCAUGCACCGAAGCUGCGGC